rnacentral:tRNA from 1 species
GGGGUUGUGGCUCAGUGGUAGAGCACUUGCCUAGCAUGUGUGAGGCCAGGCCCUGGGUUUAAUUCCCAGCACCA